rnacentral:rRNA from 1 species
CCCGCACAAGCGGUGGAGCAUGUGGUUUAAUUCGAUGCAACGCGAAAACCUUACCUACCCUUGACAUGCCACUAACGAAGCAGAGAUGCAUUAGGUGCCCGAAAGGGAAAGUGGACACAGGUGCUGCAUGGCUGUCGUCAGCUCGUGUCGUGAGAUGUUGGGUUAAGUCCCGCAACGAGCGCAACCCUUGCCGAUAGUUGCUACGAAAGGGCACUCUAUCGGGACUGCCGGUGACAAACCGGAGGAAGGUGGGGAUGACGUCAAGUCCUCAUGGCCCUUAUGGGUAGGGCUUCACACGUCAUACAAUGGUCGGUACAGAGGGCUGCCAACCCGCGAGGGGGAGCCAAUCCCAGAAAACCGAUCGUAGUCCGGAUUGCAGUCUGCAACUCGACUGCAUGAAGUCGGAAUCGCUAGUAAUCGCGGAUCAGCAUGUCGCGGUGAAUACGUUCCCGGGUCUU